CACUGCUAAACCAAUCAGAUUAUUAUGAAGUCGUAGAACGUUUAGUUGCCGACUGUGUGAUCCAUCAAUUUUUUUUUUUUUAAAUUGCGUAAAUAACCAUUCAGUGUAUAAGGAAAGUUUUUGUUAUAUUCACGCGGUAAAUAGACAUUGGCAAUACAACUUUGAAGACAUUUGCAAGAUGUGAUUCCUGUAGGAUUAGUCCUAGUCUCAUUAAUCCUGUCACCUUAGGGGAGGCUAGGCGCCGCUGAGCUGAGCCAAUCGUAAAGUGGCCUGCAUUCCAUUGAGGAGUGAGAGAUGUGUAUUUCUGGUGAUAGAAGUUCACUCUCGACGUGGUUCGGAAGUCACGUAAGCUGUUGGUCCCGUUACUGAAUAACCACUGGUUCCAUGCAACGUAAAAACACCAUACAAAAAACAGUAAAGUGGCCUGGGUCGACGACUAAAGUUGGUUGCGUACAAAGCAACGCGAUAACUGGAUUGAAGAGGGCCCCUUGGGAAAAACAUGACGGAAAUCCUUGACAGGAAAGUAGAUAGCCACUAGUGACAAGAUAUUUGAGUAUAAUGUUAGUUCCCUAUCAGCACAAGGUUUGUAAAUAAACAAAGGUUGUGAACUGUCACUGUAUUUCAAGGGCUACUGGUUGAAUAUGUACACAAUUAAUUACAGGAAUGAACAUAUGCUGCAGCAUCUUUAAAUAAAUCAUUAAAUUCAUGAUUAAUAUAUAGAAAAAAAAAAGAAAAACAUGUCUUUU